UACAACCUUCAUAUUUUUCCUUUUUUUAAAAUUUUCAUUGUCUUCUAUCUAACAAUAUUUAAGAUCAAUGUUAAGUAUUGAUAUACUUUUUACAGAUCUAAAAAAUAAAAAUAAAAAGAAAAGGAAGAUUACAACCUUCAUCUUUUUCCUUUUUUUAAAUUUUCAUCAUCUUCUAUCUAACAAUAUUUAAGAUCAAUGUUAAGUAUUGAUAUAAUUUUUACAGAUCUGAAAAAUAAAAAUAAAAAAAGAAAAGUAAGUUUACAACCUUCAACUUUUUCCUUUUUUUAAAUUUUCAUUGUCUUCUAUCCAACAAUAUUUAAGAUCAAUGUUAAGUAUUGAUAUACUUUUUACAGAUCUGAAAAAGAAAAGUAAGAAAUAGUANNNNNNNNNNNNNNNNNAUUUAUUUUUUUAUAAAGCAUGCUAAAAAUGAUACGAAAUAAUAGAGUUUGAGGACAAAUAGAAUAAAUGAUACGAAAUAAUGAACAAAGAUGAUAAAUUAGCAAUUAGCAAAAAAAAAAAAACAGAGUUUGAUCGUAUCUUCAUACCUUUAGUGAAAGAGAAAACAAAUUUCGUAUACUUGUGUUGUUGUUCAAAAAAUGAAUAGUUUUCCUGCAAGAUGAGAAGAGAAAAAAUGAAGAUCAGACAAGUAGAAAGAUAAAAAUACUGAGAGAAAAAGAUAAAAGUAGUGAGAGAAAGAAGAGUAAGAAUGAAAUGUGAUAAAUGUGAAAGAGUAUAUAGUAUUCAAUGAUAUUUGAAAUUUGAAUUUGAAAAAUUUACCCCCAAAAUUGGUUGGUAAUAGUGUGAAUAGAAGUUUUGGAUUUUUCUAUCAAAAAGGUGUGAUUUGACAUAAA
rnacentral:lncRNA from 1 species